GUGGUGGUGGUUCAGUGGUAGAAUCCUCACCUUCCAUGUGGGAGACCUGGGUUUGAUUCCUGACCAGUGCA
rnacentral:tRNA from 1 species